rnacentral:tRNA from 5 species
GCCGUGGUAACUCAGUUGGGAGAGUGCGUGACUGAAGAUCACGAAGUCGCUGGUUCGAGCCCGGCUCACGGCACCA